AUAGCACGUUACAGUUUGCAACAGAUUUUCACUUCCAUUGGACCCUUGCUCCUUGGAACAGCCCUGAGAUGUGGGCUGCACAGAAACCCGCAUUGCGUGUUUGAGGAAACUGAAGCCCACAGAGAUUAAGUGACUUAAGUACACAGAGCAGAGCCGAGACUUGAACUCGGCUUUGCCGAUGGCCAGCACUGGGCUACUUGUGAGUUAAUAUUUAAUCACAUACAGGUUGAGGAGCCGUUAUCCGAAAUAUUUGAAACCAGAAAAGUUUUGGAUUUCGGACUCUUUCAGAUUUGGAGAUACUUACAGAAUACCUGCCAGUUGAACAUCCCCAACCCAAAACUCUAAAAUCUGAGAUGCUCCAAUGAGCAUUUGCUUUGAGCAUCAUGUUGGUGUUCAAAAUGUUCCAGAUUUUGGGUUUCAGAUUUUUGAAAUCCAACCUGUGAUAAUUAAUUUUAAUGACUGCGGCUGCUACUCUUAUAAUCACCACUGCUACAACUGCCACCACCACCACCACUGCUACCACUGUAGAACCAAUGGCAGCAGCAAGGUCUGGUCCUGUGUGGGCCCCUUGAUAGCAGACCUCACCCCAGAUGGAGACGCCAUUACCCAAAGAGAGAAACGGGCUUGGUCAAGGUCUCCAAGCAAGUCUACCCCAGGCUGGGAGGAGGACCACAAGGAUCACUAGGCCACCAGCUGGGACCAAUGCUGACACCACAGGGACAUGCUGGACCCCGGUUCCCACCCCAAGCACCAACCCUGAGAGCCCACUUGGCCAACACCACCACAGGUCCCCUUACCCAUAUGCCCACGGCCACAUUCAGAGCAAAAUACACAGUGAUGACGAUGAUGUCAGCCACGCUCAGCUGCGUCCCGGGAGUGUGGAGGUCGCUGGUGGAGUUGGCGGCCAUGGCUGUCCUGCCGCAGGCACUAGGUAUGAGCCCGAGGGACUGAGGGGCAAACCAGGUCAGAAAGGGUUUCCUGGCAGGGAGCUCAUUGAUCAUUAAACCAAGCGGACAGUGGCAUCUCCAGCCCAUGAUGUGGCUGCAUGCAGGGCAGCUGCCUCACCAUGCAGUUCAGCUUCCUCACCCCAUGGUGGGGUGCAGAUCCCAGAGCGCAGGAGUCAGGGAGCCUGGGAGAAGCAAGUGGGAGGAGGAAAGGAAGGAGCCUCCUUGAACUCGGAGGGGGCUUGGGGAAAAUGAACCGCAUUUAGUGGACCCGGAGGCAGCCCAAAUAGUCCCAGAAAGGCUGGGUUGCUUAAUGGGUGGCUUCACCUAUAUCUAAUUUGUAUAAGAAGCAUAGAGCGUAGGGACAACCGCCUCACCUCUGAAGAUACUGCCGUGGCGGGCAGCCAUGUCCUCCCUUGGCCAUCGGGCUGUGAGUGGACUGAGCAGGGCUUGGGAGGGGGACACCUGCAUUAUGGCUCACGUCCAGCCAACACAGCCCAGGCUCAGAGGCAGCCCCAUGUCGGACAAUAAAGUCCUGCUUCCAG
ensembl:lncRNA novel transcript, antisense to SLC5A10